rnacentral:rRNA from 1 species
UACGGAGGAUGCAAGCGUUAUCCGGAAUGAUUGGGCGUAAAGCGUCCGCAGGUGGCAAUGUAAGUCUGCUGUCAAAGCGUCUGGCUCAACCAGAUAAAGGCAGUGGAAACUACAUAGCUAGAGUAAGGUAGGGGUAGAGGGAAUUCCUGGUGUAGCGGUGAAAUGCGCAGAUAUCAGGAAGAACACCAAUGGCGAAGGCAGCUCUCUGGGACGGUACUGACGCUGAGACGCGAAAGCGUGGGGAGCGAACAGG